rnacentral:miRNA from 9 species
GUAAAUGCAUCCUCUAUUACCAC